GAUGAACGCUGGCGGCGUGCCUAAUACAUGCAAGUCGAGCGAACGGACGAGAAGCUUGCUUCUCGGAUGUUAGCGGCGGACGGGUGAGUAACACGUGUAUAACCUCCCUAUAAGACUGGGAUAACUUCGGGAAACCGGAUCUAAUACCGGAUAAUAUUUUGAACCGCAUGGUUCAAAAGUGAAAUACGGUCUUGGUGUCACGUAUAGAGGGAUCCGCGCUGCAUUAGAUAGUUGUUAAGUUAACGGCUUACCAAGGCAACGAUGCAUAGACGACGUGAGGGGGGGGUAGGCCGCCCUGGAGCUGGGACACGGUCCAGACUCCUACGGGAGGCAGCAGUAGGGAAUCUUACGCAAUGGGCGAGAGCCUGACGGAGCAAGGCGGCGUGAGUGAUGGAGGCCUUCGGAUCGUAAAACUCUGUUAUUAGGGAAGAACAUCUGUGUAAGUAAACGUGCACAUAGUGACGGUACCUAAUAAGAAAGCACCGGCUAACUACGUG
rnacentral:rRNA from 1 species